ensembl:lncRNA
CCUAUAAAGCAACCCCACCUCAGGGUCAGCAGCAGGAAUCUGCUCCACCCUUCCAUCUACAAGCUUACUGGCCUGCCAAGCAACUGCAAAUUCCACUGAACUAUCUCCUUUGCAGGGAGGGGAUGCUCUUUUUCCAGCCAGCAGCCACACCAACUCUCAUGUCAUGUCCCAGGGGUGGAAAGCUGUGCCUGCAUUCUAGCAAGGUCCUCUCUCACAGCUCCACAUGCUGUCUUUGUGCCUGCGGUUAAGGAUGGAUAUGCUGAGCCUGCAAAGUUGGCUGUUGUUUGAUCAUGGAGUUCCUCACCCCUCUCUCUUUCUUGCACAUCCAUGCUCAAGCUGUGGGAAAGAGCCACACAUCCAGGGUGCAAGCACCCAGCAGGUCUCUGCAGUGAGCUGGGUGCCGCUCUGCAGAGGGCUCCCUGAAGCCUGCCAUUGGAGGAACAGUGCUGCCCUCAUCCUGCACACCUCAUUCACAGCAAUAGAACACUGAGCCCAAUUGGAAGGGGCUUGGCUCAGGGCCACCCAAACAGGUGCUGGGUAAUUCAUUUUGUCUGCUAACAGUCAGUGCAACAUCCUCACUUAAAAAAAAAAUAAAAACACUUGUAAGGCAAACAGGUAUACAGGUAUUGGACCAGAGAGGUUAUCGUGUUACAAAGGAGUAAUGAAAUAAAGAUCUUACCCACGUCCUGGGCUCCCGGAAGGGCUCCAAGAGAAGUGGUCUCCAGGUAGAGAUCCUUCCUCCUUGGGAGUCAGCCCUUAAAUGGGGUCUAGGAGGGUGGAGCCAGGCUCCACCCCUUCUGAUCACUCAGGUGAAAUUGCAUUCACCUGUGCCCCUGUGGCUGACUCAGCGCUCGCCUCAGGUGGUCAAUCAGAGAUUCAGGCCGUGAUUCAACAGUUCCCAUACAAACACUGUGUGAUCUACCAGACCUGGCUUUAGAGAUGUCAAACCCUUCCUAGAAGACAGACCAGCUGAGGUGCCACAGCACCACUGUGGGAUGCUAUUUCCGACAUCCAGAAAGGAGUGAGGUGAGUUUCUGGAUGCACAUCAGCACACCCAGCAUCCCUGCGGUCCCGGAUCAGUGAUGACAAGACAAGCACUUUCCCUACUGCACAUCUUGCGUGGUUUCUGGCUGAAGGGUUAUUAUCCAGUCUGCAAACAGAGGUCAUUAGUUCAGUAGCACAGCAGCACAUCUUGCAGGCUGAAUAUCAGCAUGGAGCUGUUACGUGGAACUGCCUGGAGGACCACUGAAAUGUCCUACAGUUCUUAGGAUGCACUCUGCUUUUAGGCUGUAAACAUGAAAAUACAAUUAUUUUGAACUUUUGUUCACGUCCAGCUACAAACAGACAGCGUUAAAACAAUCACAGCACGUGACGGAUUACAAAGUCACUGCAAGCAGCCCGCACUUAACAUGCUGAGUGCUCUGUGAUAUUAGCUCAGGUCUAAUGCGAAGAAGCACGGAGGGGUUUUAAAGACUGGCAGGCACUCAACAAAACAGCAAAGGAAGUUCCCUGCAGGCACCUACAGCGAUGCCAGGCAACGCAGUGUGCAAGGAUGAAUGGAGCACUUCUGGCUGUUACAGCAAGACCCUCAGCCUCGGAGCCCUCCAAAGCCCCCCGAGGAAACACCAGCCACCACUGGCAUCCCCUCCCAGCAACACUACAUACGCCUGUGGACAUCAGGAUGUAUGGAUCUCUGCCUUCUCAGUGCAGACACACAUUUUCUUGCAAGUGUUCCCUAACAAAUGCUGAACGAAGCAUCAGAAUGCAAAUAAUCCACAUCUGAUGAAUGUCCUUCGGGCUCUUUCUAAAGUCUCCUUUGAUAAAUCAUCUGUUUAUAUUUCGAAAGGGAGAAAAACUGAGAUAGGAGAUUAUACAUGCAUGAAAACAAAAGCAGUAUCUGACAAGUCUUUUUUUUUUAAUUUGCAGAUAAUUGCUCAUCACUGCAAAAUACAGCUUUUGUGCUGUUUCAAAGCAAGUAGAUAAGAAACCCUAAGUUACUACUAAGUAUUGCUUAUGGCAAAUAAAAAUCUCUCCCACCGUGGCUGCGUCACCGUGUAACCACAUUUUGACCAAGCAUCCACUCUGGCAUCCCUCAGGCACUGCAGGACACAGACCACCACAUUCUGCCCAGGUGUUUCACAGAGGCCUUCCCACCAGGGCCCUCCACAUGCUCGCAUCCACCCCUCCCUCCCAUCCUCACUCUGAUGUAGUUUCUUCAUAUUCCCUCCUCUCUGGCACACAGCUAUCUCCACACUGCCUUUGCUCAGCACCCCAACUGCAACCAUCCAACUUCAGCAUCCCAUGUGAUUUCAAGGAACUGCAGCUCACCUUGGACGGCACUGCCCCACCUGCAUGCAGACGCAGAGACAGCCCCAUGCAGCUACCCAAGCCUCCUAGCACACAGCACCCCGUCCUAUGCAUACAAGCAGGGCUUUGGCAGCCUGGCAUGGUGCUCGGCUGCUGAGCACAGCUUGUUAGUGCAUGGUACAUUUUCACUCGACAGCAGCAGGAGAGCUCAUGCCAGCAGAGUACAGGAAAUACCAUCUCUGUAGCGGGAGGUCAACGUGUGGAAGUGAGAGAUCGUAUGGAAUCGGUCCAAGGCAAAACUUCUGAAAAGCACUGUUCUAUCUAUGGAGGCAUGGGUUUAUGCUGCUAGGAGAAGCCAGUAAACACCACUGUUGUGACUCCUUUCCAACCAAGGGUAGUACUUUAACAUUCUGCUUUAGGAAAGGUGCAGGGGUGGGGCCUCCUGUAGGUAGUGCAAGCUGUUUCUCCAUUUAAUCCUUGGUUGUUUUGCUAAGAUUGAGGAUAAAAAAAAAAAUGUUAAAUUCUGUGCACUGUCCUCUACAAAAACACUUUGCAUGUAGCAGUCAAACAAAAGGCAGUCACGCAUUAAAUAAAACCACACAUCAGACAACCGAAGAAAGCGCAGCAAGAGUUUAAAGCCCACCAGCCCUGCUGCUGAGCCUUCUGCACCACCACCUGGAACAACAGAGGAAGGAGCGGUGAAUUUAACCUGGGAUGACAGAAAGGCGCUACGUCCUGCACCAUUCUCACAGAAGUAUAUACGGUUAAGUCAGCAGUGACCCUGCAAAGACGCUGAGCACGAGGACUUCCAUCGUGCAGGAUCUUGCCAGCUGUCACCACAUCGUGAUUAACAAACGAAGCUGAGUGAGGACACAGCCCCUUGAAACCUGAGCAGUCCGCUCAGGGCUCCCUCUGAUCUGCCCAAACGCCAAUUGCAAACGUUUCAAUACUCUCUCACCGAAGCAGUUCGUUGUCUCAGCCUGCCAUUUUAACAAAUCCAAGCACAAGGCAUUAAAUUCCACUAGAACAAAUCUCAGCACUCCCAGCAUUAAAUUUGCAAGUGACAUUUAAUGGCAUAAAGCAAAGGCAAAGCUGAGCUAAGCCACUAAUGGACCAGCAAGGAAACCUCUACGGCUCCAGGAUGCAGUGCUCUUUUUAGCUCGAGGAAACGAUGGUGUGGGCUACGCUGGGCAGGAAGAGAUACCAGCAGCUUAAAAAUAUGCCUCAAACCACAGCAGCCAGAGCUGUGUCCUGCAGCCCUACUGCCCAGCAUCCUCUGCAGACAGCUCAAGAGCAAGCAGCACACACAGCGCACACCGGGGCUCCCUGCUUCCCAGCUGCAAGGUGCUCUGCAAUCCUGCUGCUUUCUGACCACACACACAGGCACAAGUAAAGCCUACUGUCAGGAGAGAUGCUUUUCAGGUAUUUCAUUAUUUGCUUACAUUGUAAUGGACUACACCCAGCACAGGGAAGCCAGUUACACUUGGGAGUUGAUUAGCACACAUAUUAUCUUCAACAACCAAAAUCAAACUUCAAGCAACCUGAUUUAUGAGAACCAUAGAGCAUAUUUGGUACGAAACACACAAGAACCCAAGGUUUUGUGCUCUUCCUCUCUGCUGUCUGGUUGGGGAAAGAGACUUCACUUACAGAGCUGAAUGACCCUGCACAGCUUCCAGCCCACAACACGGAACACCAGCCCAUGCCAACACCUGUGUGCUGCUUUCCUGGUUGCAAAAUGCCUCUGACAAUGCCAAAUCCUUCAGACAACACUGCCAGUAAUGUGGGAGCUCUGGUCAUGGGACGCUGAUGCUUCAAAAAUCCUCAGGGUCUGAGCUCCUUUGGUUUCAGCUCUACCAUACACGGUUGCUUUCGUUGUACCACGUGUGAGCCCUGGAACUGAAAGCAGCACCUGCUGCAGUUUGAGGAGUGGUUAGAGAAGCAACGACACAGGGAGUACAGGCGUACAGGAGGCAUUACUGAGAGGUUGCUGCUUCUAUGGGCCCUGCUGGCUUGAGCAGUCAGGCGGUAUUCACAGAUACCUGCCUGAAAGUUACCCGGGCACUCGGAUUUGUUACAUUUCUAAGUGUCAAAGCUCUCCUUAGGGGCCAUUAACACACAGAGACAUGCUGUCUCCAGGCUGACACGUGGAAGCCAAAAGUUCAGUUACAAGUGCUUUGGGAAUCACGUCGUUACACAGGUCACAACACAGUUUAAAGACUCUGCAGCAGAAUUUAAUUCUAUUCCACGUGCAGGAACCCGGAAAAAAAAUCAAGGCGAUCUCUCUGGGUAGGAGUGGUUUUCUUAUCAGUAUUUUAAAACUAGCGUUUAUCUCUCACCCGCCAGCACCCAGAGCCGCUUGGGUUCUCUUCCUAAAUUCCAACCUCCUCACUGAGCUGCAGCUGUUUCAACAGCCAACCAACUGCUGCAGGGAACAAACCAGCAGUGUGCUGCUCCAACUGCAGCCCGCUCCCAGGGCGAUCCCCACACACAGGCGGGCGGACACGGGGCUGUCAGCGGGCAGAGCGCUGCUCCCCAGCGACCUCAGCUCUUCCCACCGCACCUCACACCCUGACAACGGGAGGCCCCGAGGCCUUCCUUAACGAGCUCGUCACACAGGACAGAACAAACUAGAAACCUCGAUGGGAGCGGGGCCUCCAGCAGACGUGCAGCAGCAACGUGGAAGGACAGCCGCACACACACCACCCACCAGCCCACCCACCGGCAG